GCUCCUUAAAUCCCUCAUGGCCAGGCAGGCAUGGGGCAGGUGGUUAAACUCCUCCAGUAGAGCCUGGCUAUCUCAAGAUGGGAGGGACCAGCCCUUCAAAUCCCAAUUUUCAUCCAAUUGUUUAGAGUCUUUAAAAAACUCAGGAGAGCUGUGAGCAUCAACUUCUCUGCUUGACACCAACUUGAUUCCAUUUGGUCUUCAACAUUCGUAUACAAAUACAUGACAGUACUAUCGGGAGCUUACGAUCUACCAGGAGAGGAAAACAGCCCAAUGAUGAACAAGGAUAAACAGAAAACACUACAAAUACACCAGGAUGAAGCUGUUAACAAAUGAUUUAACGUAACUAUACAAAGAAACAUACAAAUAA